UAAGGAAUAUUGGACAAUGGGCGCAAGCCUGAUCCAGCCAUGCCGCGUGAAGGAUGAAGGCCCUAUGGGUCGUAAACUUCUUUUAUACGGGAAAAAACCCCCCGAUGCGUCGGGGGUUGAUGGUACUGUAAGAAUAAGGGUCGGCUAACUUCGUGCCAGCAGCCGCGGUAAUACGAAAGACCCAAGCGUUAUCCGGAUUUAUUGGGUUUUAAGGGUGCGUAGGCGGACUAAUAAGUCAGUGGUGAAAGCCUGAUGCUUAACAUCAGAAUUGCCAUUGAUACUGUUAGUCUUGAGUAUGGUUGAGGUGGGCGGAAUGUGUCAUGUAGCGGUGAAAUGCUUAGAUAUGACACAGAACACCAAUUGCGAAGGCAGCUCGCUAAACCAUAACUGACGCUGAGGCACGAAAGCGUGGGGAGCAAACAGGAUUAGAUACCCUGGUAGUCCACGCCCUAACGAUGAUAACUCGUUGUUGGCGAUACACAGUCAGCGAAC
rnacentral:rRNA from 1 species